UUAUAGUUGACAUAAAAAUUUUAAUGUGUGUUUAAAUGUCGUCAACCUAACCUAACCUAACCUGUCCCUGUCCAAAAGAGGAUAUAAUGCAGAGGUGUAGGAUACCUAUAAUGACAAUAUAAUGUCAAAAGGUUUCUGUCAUCACAGACUGUUUACAGUGCGAAAAGAGAUAGCGUCGUGUCAAAGUGCAAUGUAUAUUGCCAACACAUUACGUCCUUAUUCAACAGCAGAAACCCAACAGGUCGGACAAAAAAUUGUUUCGCGUAAACUCAUCCGCCUACAAGACGGCCCGAGCGUGCCUGUCGAAAUAUACGGUACUGAGUUGGGCGGUUUCGCUUGUUGAAAAGACAAGGAUGAGUGCAGAACUCAAAUGAUAAUGGAUCUAAAAAUAUCGAUAUUAUCGACAUUUUUAGUUCCAUUUAGUAGAUGGCGCAGGACCGUCAGAGUUCGGCCAUCACUCCAGCAUCGCCUUAAGGAAAAUAAUGGAAACAAGCUUGUAUUAGUCUUGUACAUGGACGAUAGUCUAUUAGUACCAGCAACUAACCAGAAGGAACUAAGGAUCUUCCUACACAAGCUCAGGACGGAAUUCAUGAUUACUAUAAAAGAAGCGUAUUUUUUUGGGCUACGUAUUUUUUUGGACUACAGAUUGACAGACACCAAGAUGAAAGUAUCAGGAUUUUACAAGAAUCAUAUGCUCGUAGCAUUCUUGAGCGAUUCAACUUCGCUGAAUGUAAACCAGUUUUGACUCCUAUGCUGAAAAAAUCAGAAAAAGAACAACCAAAGCAGCAUAAUUUUUCCUACAGACAAGCAAUGGGAGCUCUAAUGUAUCUUAUGCUCGGCACAAGACCUGAUUUAGCUUACAGCAUGGGAUAUUUAUCAAGGUCACUUGAUAAUCCAUCUAUAGAAGACGUGGCCAGAGAAAAAUAGGCUUUUCGAUAUGUUGAAGGCACAUUGAAAUUGGGUAUAUUUUAUCGUCCAAAUAUCAAUAAAGGUAUUUUAGAAUGUUACAACGAUGCAGAUUUCGGAGGUUGCUUAAAAACUGGGCGCUCUACCUCAGGUUUUGUAGUAAUGUAUGCAGGAGGAGCCAUAUCAUGGAUUAGUCAGAGACAAGCUAUGAUGGCUACAUCAACCACAGAAACUGAAAUACUUGCCGCUAGUAAAGCUACAAAGAAAAUUAUCUGGUUAAAAAAAUUAAUCAGCAGUAUUUGCAAUCUGAGAGAUGUUCCCAUUCUUCAAGUCGACAAUUCAGCAGCAGUCAGGCUAGCCGAAUCCAGAGUUUCAUCGACGCACUAAACAUGUUGCGAUUAAACACUUUUUUAUCCAGGAGAAGGUUUCGGAGCGACAACUAGGAGUUCAGCAAAUUUCAACUGAGAAGCAAGUUGCCGACAUUAUGACAAAAGCAUUAUCUAAAACGAGUCAAAAAUUUUAUGUAAUUUUAUGAGACUGAUAUAAUUGAAAUCAUUAGUUUAAUUAACAAGAAAAAAUGUUAUAGAUAAAAGAUUUAAUGUGUUAAUUUAAAUUAAGAAGAAUGUGUAGAUGUCGCGCUUGAUUUAGUACUCCGUUCUUCAUGUUUUCGGUUAUUUGUGCUCUCUCUCUCUCUCUCUCUCUCUCUCUCUCUCUCUUACCGAGUAUGUAUGCAUGUAAAAGUUAUUCGCUCUCCUUUUAUUACAAAUUUUGUACUUUAUUCUGCUACUAUUAUGUGUGUAUAAUAAACAGUUCUUCAUAGAAACAAGUAAAUA